ensembl:lncRNA
AUUUCAGCAUGUUGAAUUUUGGGUAACGGACAUCAUCAUUCAGUCUAUUCCGGAUAUGAGCACGUGAAUUUGGGAUUACUUUUCAACCACAUUAAUAUUGUACUUUCCUUCAGAGAAGCACAUCGAUAUGGACUCCAGCCUGUUACCCUACUUGGACGUAGAAAGUCAAAUGUUGCAUGGUGGCUAUAGUGACAAGGACAUACAUAACCACUUGGUUUAAGGAUGUGGCUUGAGUCGAGGAGCGUUCAUCAGGAAUAUUCGAAGAUUUUGCAAAGAUCACUGCGAGUGACGGACGAACAACUGGAAGGCGCGGUCUUAAAAUCAGUAAACGAGAUGCCUGACUGGACACACCUGCAUGUCUGCCAAGAAGCAUUGCUGAGAGCUGUUGUAGUCCUUAUUGUGUGUGUGGGUGUGUGCAGUGUACGGAGUCUCGCCCCCGUUUUCAGCAGAACGCACACAGCUAAGUACAACAUUGUGUUACAGAACAAGAAUUUGGCACGCUUGUUUACAGCGAGUGUGUGCGCAUUCAGUGCACACAGAUUGCUGUGACAUGAUUUCUGUUUUUUUUUACAACCGACAGGACACAAAUUGGGGCGUGAGAUCUCAGGCUCCACCGUGAUUCUAUCCACACACA